UCGAUGUAGAAACCAUUUUAUUAUUAAACACGUUUCCACGAGCAGUAAACGUGUUUACCGAUCAAUCGAUUACCCAUCAAUCAAUCAAUUAACCCAACUAAUAGGUAUGAAUGAUCAGACAUGUUUGCUAUUUAACUCUUUAAGGAUUGUUGGGUGAACAUUCAUUUUUCUCCCCAGGAAGAAGCGUAGUGACAUCACUUCCUGUGGGCGGGUCUUCCUCUACAUACGUUUCCUGUUCUUUCAUGAAAAACUGACCUUAGAUGCUUUAAAGCUAUUUACUGUCAACUAAGUACAUUUACACUAACUUAGUGGUGUACUUGAGUGUACUAGAAUAUUUAUACUUCUCCACCACAUGUCAGAUAUUGUACUUCCUUGUAUAUCCAGAUGUAUGGAUGAUAAACGUCUUUGCACUUCAACUACUUACACAUUAUCUCAUGGUGGAGUAGUUCCACAGUGAAUCAGCAGUACUUUUACUGCAGUAUAGAAUACUCCUAAAGGCAAACGGUCUCGUUGUCACAACUCUAAACUAUUUUUUUCAAGGAAUUUGUUAAAACUCUACUUUGACUUCUUUAAAUAUGCUUCUGAUCUGCAUCAAACCAGAGAGCAACCAACCAAGCAGCUGGUUGGAGUUACUGGUUUGCUCACGUUGCCGACUUUCAUUCAGAACUUUUUAUUUAGUUCUAGUCCAUUUAAACCACCUCGUUUUGUUCAGCUGUUUGUUGAUCUCUGCAAAAAGGGAAAUGAAAAUGAUCUUUAUAUAUUUUCUUUGGCAUAACUUCACAAACAUUAUUCUUUGUCUCAAAGAAAUCUCAAUAAAAAUAAAAAAAGUGUUCCUGAAACCGAACCAAGAAUUAAAGAAUAAACCCUCACCAGAGAGUCAGAGUUCAAAUCCAUUUAGAAAGACCAGUUGAAAAAUCUAAAGUAAAAAAUAUUGUAUAUAAUAUUGUAUAUAUGAUGUAACAGAAUGUUCUUUAAAUAUUUCACAUUCAAGUGGUGACGAGAUGAAUCCAAUUUGACAAUAAAAGGGUUUUGAUAUCUUGAUGAAAGUCAUCAUUUUCUUUAAAUAUAGUCGGCAUAUUUAUUACAAAAAUAAAUUCAUAAUGUUUUAAACACAUGGUCAUACUUUCCCUAAAAGUUAAAUAUUCCUCAAAAUAGUUCUGCUUUAUUCUCUGACUCUCGGGUCCCUGAACAGUCGGAACCUUUGAACCGUCAGGGCUCAAGUCUGUUCUGAUUGGUUCUGAUCCGGGAUUUCAAUCCUGUUUAAUACACGUCGACUUCAUGAGAAGCAGAUGUUAAUUAACA
ensembl:lncRNA